rnacentral:rRNA from 1 species
UGGGGAAUAUUGCGCAAUGGGGGGAACCCUGACGCAGCCAUGCCGCGUGAAUGAAGAAGGCCUUCGGGUUGUAAAGUUCUUUCGGUAUUGAGGAAGGUUGAUGUGUUAAUAGCACAUCAAAUUGACGUUAAAUACAGAAGAAGCACCGGCUAACUCCGUGCCAGCAGCCGCGGUAAUACGGAGGGUGCGAGCGUUAAUCGGAAUAACUGGGCGUAAAGGGCACGCAGGCGGUUAUUUAAGUGAGGUGUGAAAGCCCCGGGCUUAACCUGGGAAUUGCAUUUCAGACUGGGUAACUAGAGUACUUUAGGGAGGGGUAGAAUUCCACGUGUAGCGGUGAAAUGCGUAGAGAUGUGGAGGAAUACCGAAGGCGAAGGCAGCCCCUUGGGAAUGUACUGACGCUCAUGUGCGAAAGCGUGGGGAGCAAACAGGAUUAGAUACCCUGGUAGUCCACGCUGUAAACGCUGUCGAUUUGGGGGUUGGGGUUUAACUCUGGCGCCCGUAGCUNACGUGAUAAAUCGACCGCCUGGGGAGUACGGNCGCAAGGNU